rnacentral:rRNA from 1 species
UACGUAGGCAGCGAGCGUUGUUCGGAAUUAUUGGGCGUAAAGAGUGUGUAGGCGGUGCUCUAAGUCUGUCGUGAAAUCUCCCGGCUUAACUGGGAGGGUGCGGCGGAAACUGGAAUGCUAGAGGGUGGGAGAGGAAAGCGGAAUUCCUGGUGUAGCGGUGAAAUGCGUAGAUAUCAGGAGGAACACCUGCGGUGUAGACAGCUUUCUGGACCACUUCUGACGCUGAGACACGAAAGCGUGGGUAGCAAACAGG